AAAAAAAAAGAAGAGAAGAGAAGAGAAAUUAAGGUAGAAAGAAGGAAAGAGCUACGGUUUUGGGAGGAGAAAAAGCCCAAAACGUUACCAAACAGCCAAUAAGUUUCAGCUGCGCUAAAGGAAAUUUCGAGGCAAGUUUUGGCGAGUUUUGGUGAAUUUCGGGAAAGGUUCAAGAGACGACGAGGCGAGCAUAGUUAAGAGUAAUCCGUAAGAGGUACGUAAAGCGAACCUUUCUUUCUUUUGGCAUGUCUUUGUCAUAAGUACGUAAAGCUUAUACUUUCUCUUCUUUUGGCAUGUAUUUGUUAUAAGUAUGUAAAACCUUUCUUUCUUUUGGCAUGUUUUUGACAUAAGUAUGUAAAGCAUAUUCUUUCGAUUUUCAUGUUUUGACAUAAGUAUGUAAAGCUAAU